rnacentral:ncRNA from 1 species
AAUAACUAGGGGUGCUUUUAAAGCUGAGAAAGUAAUUUAUUACUUAACCCUUCGAACCUGGUUUGGAUAAUGCCAACGUAGGGAAGUGAGCUUAU